UAGCUGGAUCCCACCGUAUC
rnacentral:misc_RNA from 1 species